rnacentral:rRNA from 1 species
UACGAAGGGGGCUAGCGUUGCUCGGAAUGACUGGGCGUAAAGGGCGCGUAGGCGGUGCGGUAAGUCACCUGUGAAAUCUCCUGGCUCAACUGGGAGCUUGCAGGCGAAACUGCCGUGCUGGAGUGUGGGAGAGGUGCGUGGAAUUCCUGGUGUAGCGGUGAAAUGCGUAGAUAUCAGGAGGAACACCUGUGGCGAAAGCGGCGCACUGGACCACAACUGACGCUGAGGCGCGAAAGCUAGGGGAGCAAACAGG